rnacentral:lncRNA from 14 species
UUGGGUUUGGUUUUAUUUUUGGGGUUGGGGGUUUUUUUAGAUAUUUGGGUUUUUUUGGUUUUUUUUGGGGGGGGGUUGGGUUCUUUUGGGAUUGGGAUUUUUUUGGGACCGAGCUUUUUGGUUUGGUUUUUUUGGGGUGGGGGUCUCACCUCCCUUCCCCCCCCCCCAGCUCUUCCCGAGGGUUCGGCCACAGAAGAAGAAAAUCUGAGGGGGGGUCCCAGACCCCGCCCCCAAAUUGGGACACGCCCCCUUUGCUGUCCCCUCCCCCCCACCGUGGUGUCCCCUCCCCCUUUUUUUCCUUUUUUUUGGGAUUUUUUGGGAAUAAAAACCUUUGGAUGCUCCUGAGGGGUUUUUUUGUCUUUUUUUUUUUGGGGGGGGGGACAAAUUUGGGGACACUUGGGGGGGGUUGAGGGGACACAUGAGGUGACACCGGUACCAAAGCAGAAUUUAUUGAUGGGGACCCCAAAAUUCCCCAAAACCUCCCCAAAAUCACCCCAAAACCUUCCCCAAAAUCCCCCCCCAAAAACCCCCAAAAUCCUUCCCCAAAAUCCCCCAAAAAAACCCCAAAAUCCCCCCAAAAAAACCCCAAAAUCCUUCCCCAAAAUCCCCAAAAUCCUUCCCCAAAAUCCCCCCAAAAAACCCAAAAUCCUUCCCCAAAAUCCCCCAAAACCCCCUUCCCCAGAAAUCCUCCCCAAAUCCCCCAAAACCCCAAAAUUCCCCCAAAAAAAGACCCAAAAUCCUUCCGCCCCAAAAAAAUCCCAAAAACCCCCAAAUCCUUCCCUAAAAUCCCCCCCAAAAAACCCCAAAAUCCUUCCCCGAAACCCCCCAAAAAACCCCCAAAUUCCCCCAAAACCCCCAAAAUCCAUCCGGGAAUGGGGAGGGGAGGAGAUUUGGGGGGGUCCUGGGGGGAUUUGGGAGCUCCUGGGAGGAUCUGGGAAGGUUCCGGAAGGUUCCGGGGACAGUUCCAGGGAGCGCACCCCUGGGAAGGUUGGCCUGGAAGGUUCUGAAGGUUCCAGCGGGAUCUGGGGUGGUUCCGGAAGGAUCCAGGGCGGGGGGAUCUAUGAUGGUUCUGGAAGGUUCCGGAAGGUUCCGGAAGGUUCCAUGGGAUGGAUCUGGGGUGAUCCUGGGGGGCUCUGGAAGGUUCCAGAAGGUUCCGGAAGGUUCCAUGGGAUGGAUCUGGGAUGA